CAGCCGCCGCGGGAAUACAGAGGGUGCGAGCGUUAAUCGGAUUUACUGGGCGUAAAGCGUGCGUAGGCGGCUUCUUAAGUCGGAUGUGAAAUCCCUGAGCUUAACUUAGGAAUUGCAUUCGAUACUGGGAAGCUAGAGUAUGGGAGAGGAUGGUAGAAUUCCAGGUGUAGCGGUGAAAUGCGUAGAGAUCUGGAGGAAUACCGAUGGCGAAGGCAGCCAUCUGGCCUAAUACUGACGCUGAGGUACGAAAGCAUGGGGAGCAAACAGGAUUAGAUACCCCAGUAGUCCCUGUCUCUAUACC
rnacentral:rRNA from 1 species